rnacentral:rRNA from 1 species
GUCUAUGGCCAUGCCACCCUGAACAAGCCCUAUCUCGUCUGAUCUCGGAAGCUAAGCAGGGUUGGGCCUGGUUAGUACUUGGAUGGGAGACCACCUAAGAACCAGAUACUGUAGGUG